rnacentral:pre_miRNA from 1 species
GUGUUGUCCAUAAAAGCUACUGUACAUUGCUCAGGAUUGUUUUUAAACUCUUGUGCGUGUGACAGCGGCUAUUUUGGCUCAACGAUAGCGACAGG